rnacentral:rRNA from 1 species
UACCAGCUCUCCGAGUGGUAGGGAUGUUUAUUGGGCUUAAAGCGUCCGUAGCCGGCUUAGCAAGUCUCCUGUUAAAUUCAGCGACCUAAUCGUUGAGCCGCGGGAGAUACUACUAGGCUAGGAGGCGGGAGAGGUCAACGGUACUUCCGGGGUAGGGGUGGAAUCCUAUAAUCCCGGGAGGACCACCAGUGGCGAAGGCUGUUGACUAGAACGCGCUCGACGGUGAGGGACGAAAGCUGGGGGAGCGAACCGGAUUAGAUACCCGGGUAGUCCCAGCUGUAAACGAUGCGAGCUAGGUGUUGGGGUGGCUACGUGCCACUUCAGUGCCGCAGGGAAGCCAUUAAGCUCGCCGCCUGGGGAGUACGGCCGCAAGGCUGAAACUUAAGGAACUGGCGGGGAGCACCACAAGGCGUGAAGCUUGCGGUUC